rnacentral:tRNA from 1 species
ACUUGGAUAGUUUAAUUAAAAUAUUGAUUUGUGGGGUCAAUGAUAUAAGUACUUAUUCUAAGUC